rnacentral:tRNA from 1 species
GGGCGUGUGGCCUAGUUUGGAUAGGGCGGCAAACAUUUGAGACAUCCUCAAUUGUCCGCGUGCCUCCUAAGCUGUAGGUCGCGGGUUCAAAUCCCGUCACGUCCG